CGGCGGGGAGCGGCGGGGAGGCGCGCAGGGAGCCCGGGGGAGGCGGUCGGUUCAGGUUAAACAGGUUUGCAACUGAACAGGAAAGAAUAACAGAAAGCUUCGGUGUUGGUCAACUGAAGACACUAUUGCUGCAAUAAAUGACUGUGACAAGACAGACUACUUCCUUGGACAUCUGAUCCUCUGGCUAAAGUUCAAGAGAGAAGUUUGAGUGUACAUGGAAUGAGGAACCAGACUCCAGCUGUCAAUGGCCAAAGGAGUCAUAAACAGCCAAAUGGAACAAACAAAAGAUCCUAGAGUAAGAAAAAAACAGCACUGUUACUCAGAUUUUCUCAGUUCACAAAGACGUGCUUGUGAUCUUUUUACAUGAACCUAAUAAUUUGCUGGUUCUUUUGACACUGGUUUUCAUUGUGCACUGCAAAGUGAAGAGCAGAGAGGCACUUAAUAAACAGUCAUUAGUCUG